rnacentral:lncRNA from 1 species
GUGGCCGGAUGCAAUGCAUGCAUGGUGCAUGCAGCAGCGGGUUGCUCAGGCACGUAACGUACGGCAGGUCGGCAGGCCGUAAGCUUGUGGAUACGUAGGCCCUGCUUUACAUAUUCUCCCUGCCGCACACCGCCCCAGCCCCCAGGCACGGGCAGUCGUCGAUCGGGCAGCACGUACCGCGCGCGUCCUUGUAAGCUGCCACGUCGGCGUUGGGCGCGCCAAAAAAAAAAGCUAGGUAGGCCGGUGUUUCGUGUUGCAGACUGCACGGUCGAUCGUGCCUCACUACGGCGUACGUCCGCGCGCCGCAACGCCCGUCAACGCCGACAUACUCUACCCCGUGCUUAUCCAAGAUUCCAAGUGGAAGUUAGUGGAAGUUAAUUUGGCGCGCAGAACAUACUCUACUCCGUGCUUUGUUUGUAUUGUGUCCGUGCAUAGAUAGGAGGAAUCGACUGUUCAGAUUUUAAAAAAAGAACUCCAAAUAAAAUAAAAUAAAAUGUAUUGUGUCAUAUAGCCAAGCGUACGUGUCGCACGCUAGUACCAUCACAUCAGUGUCAUGGCCAUCGUGGCGGUUUCAAUAUUCUUCUUCAAGUUUUUGUUGCUAUAUGUGCAUACCGCACAUGUGACCACCACAGUACGAGCAGCGAGCUCGUCUGUUGGGUGUGCCUCCAUUCGGCACGUCAUUUGCUCGGCCGUUCCGGUUAUAAAGUGGACCUCAUUUGCGACGCUCUCCGAUGUGGGAC